rnacentral:lncRNA from 1 species
GGUUUACUUCGAGCGUUUCCUUUCCCUCUUUUGGGAUAAAUAACGCACGGUGGCGGCUCUGUUGUUUCGUUUUCCCGCCGGUUUUUCGCGUAAUGCGACAGCUGGCGACUCUGCUGGGGAUUCUAGAGAAGUUGACCUCUUGCUGGUCCAUCUUCCCUAAGCGAGUCUCUCCUAGCGUUCUCUAGGUUAGGGUUUUGGUUGCUUUGUGCUAUUAUUUAUUGCAUCCAUUUGUAUAUAUGUGCAUUUAUCGUUUGCAUUUAUUGUUUGCAUUAAUGUUUGCAUUCAUUCAUAUUCAUCUGCUGGUUGUGCUGUGUCUCUCUGUUUGGGGUGGGAGUUACUCAAGGUAAAAGGCCCAAUACCCAGACUAUGAGUGAAAUCUAGGUACCCUAGGAAUAGAGUGAUUCAUGGGAAGCGAGUGGUAUGCGCCACUUAGCGGAACAUUGAUAUCACGAGCAGUUCAGACCCUGGUGGGAUAUUAUCGUUACAUACUUCGGGUGUGUAUAUGAUGAUAUUCUGCGAAAGGUUAUUUAUGCUGCGUUUCUCUCGACCUUACCCUGGCCUAGAUGACACCCGUGAGUGGGGAGGGAAUGAUCAUUACAGGUACAGUUGCUGAUUUGUUGGUGACUUGUUGGUGACUCUUAGUACUGAUGGUGACUGUGAAUUGUGGACAUUUAUUUCUAGGACGCCAGAGUUCUGUCCGUGGUUUAUCAGCGGAUUCCGUUUAUUUCGGAGCCCCGGGUUGAGUUGGGAGUACUUGUUCAGAGGAUCCGGUUGUCGUCCGUUCAGUGGAUGUUCCUGUGAUGAUAUUGAUGUAAUCUCCGGUUCCGUUUAUUUCGGAACUCCCCAAGUUGGAUUUAUGGUGACCUAGUCCUUCAGAUAACUGUGACUGGUUCAGAGACUUAAUGGGUCUACAGAUGACUUGGUGGCACGGUGGCCUGCAUUCAUGCAUUUGCAUCAUAUCAUUUCACAUUCAUCUGCAUUCAACUCAUGUCUGUCCGUGUUCAGGGUCCAUUACUUUUUAAUUGAGACUAAGGGUGAGAGACAUCCAGAUGUCAGAAUGUUGUUGAUAAAAUUUUAUCUGUCUCGAUGAAACCGGAAUCAAAGGACAGAAUAUUCCUAGUAUGGACAGACAUCGCAUGUGCGAGUCAUACUAACCCAUUUGCUAUUUUGUAGGUUUCAGUGUUCAACCGGGGCGCAUAGCUCGUCUGUUCAGAUAAUUUGCUGGGGUCAGCAAAUCCAAGCUGAUGGAUCUUCCCAACGCCGACAUCCUUGAACUAAAAGAGAUGAUGAGGGACUUGUUCAGUGUUGUGCAAGGGCUUGCCUUGGGGCAGAAAGCCAUGUCUGAGAGAUUGGAAAAGAUUGAGAAGUGGCUGAUAGUGGAGAAAGUUCAGGGGAAGGCUCCGUCCUCCGAAGUGAACAAACCUUCUGGUACUGUAGCAAAGAAACCCUCCGACAGUGGUCCAUUCAAGAAGGAGGUUGAGCCAGUUGGUGUGCCAGCAAAGAAAGAACGUAGUAAAGAU